rnacentral:rRNA from 1 species
AUUGAACGCUGGCGGCAGGCCUAACACAUGCAAGUCGAGCGAUAGGAGGACGGGUGAGUAAUGUCUGGGAAACUGCCUGAUGGGGGGGGAUAACUACUGGAAACGGUAGCUAAUACCGCAUACCAUCAGAUGUGCGCAGAUGGGAUUAGCUAGUAGGGGGGGUAACGGCUCACCUAGGCGCAGAUCCCUAGCUGGUCGGAGAGGAUGACCAGCCACACUGGAACGGAGACACGGUCCAGACUCCUACGGGAGGCAGCAGUGGGGAAUAUUGCACAAUGGGCGCAAGCCUGAUGCAGCCAUGCCGAGUGUGUGAAGAAGGCCUUCGGGGUGUAAAGCACUUUCAGCGGGGAGGCGUUACCCGCAGAAGAAGCACCGGCUAACUCCGUGCCAGCAGCCGCGGUAAUAC